rnacentral:rRNA from 1 species
UAGCUUUCUUCCCCAUAGCGGUGCUCUUAUUUGGAAGCUAGCGGCUGGAGAAUCGGGAGGAGGAGCACCGGCGGCGACCAUUCAUGGAGUUCCUGAUGCAGCCUAUGCAUGAAUCCACUUUCCUGUAGGAGGUGGGAGAAAGCUUGGUACCGCCGCCAGUGGCGGCGGUGGCGCCUGUGCUGCUGGAGGCGGAUGUGGUACAUGCGGCGGUGCAGCAGCUAGUGGUGGAGCAGGGCGUUCUGGGGUAUGUCCGCUCGGCCGUCAGUGGCGAUGCCCAGAUUGUGUCAGCCAAGCCGUCGGCGGCAGUCAGGAUGGAUAGCUCGCCACAGUCGUCGGAGUUGUCUACUGAGAAGAUGAAUCCUCGGGUGCCUGGAUGGAAUAAGAGGUUGAGGAUUGGAGCUGCUGUACCAACAGGCCGCCUUGUCCAAACCGGAUCAGUGCAUUCGAGAAGGUUGUGCGGAGUUUUGCUAAGAACCCGACUGACAAUGUUAUCACAACAGUUAUUGGCACAACAUUCGACUCGGUUUGUGAGGUGUAUGACUUCUACAAUUUGUACUCGUGGGAGAAGGGCUUUGGCAUUCGUUACGGGAAGAGCAGGCUAAAUGUGGAGAUGACCAAAGCAUGCAGGAAAUAGUUUGUGGUUGCUCGGUGGAUGUUUUUUUUGUUACUUAUUUUUAUGCUGGGACAUACAAUUCAUAUUCGUGCCCUGUGUGUGGUGUCGACAAAAUUACUGAACUCACUGGCUUUUGUUGGAAAUCAUUUUGCAGGGCAAAGCUGGUGUGGAGAACACCAGGUCUUGUCGUUGUGAGUGCCCCUCUCUAAUAAGGCUGCUACGAGCAGAGGACAACGGAUGGUACAUUGCAGAGCAGAGAGACAGUCACAACCACUUGCUGUUGCCUAAUUUCGGUGAGACAAUCCAUUGGCCCUCACACAAGCACAUAGAUGUGUACACCAGGGAUCUAGUGAAACAGUUAAGGCAAAACAAUGUGAACUUAGCAAAGGUGUACAACAUCAUUGGAGGCUUCUUUGGAUCAAUGGAAAAUGUUCCGUUCACUAAGAGGUCGUUAUGUAACCUGUGUGGGAAGAUAAACAGGACCGUGCAAAAGAUAAUGUGAAGAAGACAAUGGAUAUUUUUGCAGAGAUAGGGGCUAAAGAUCCACACUUCACAUAUAGGGUUGAGUCCGACAAUGAGUGCAGGAUUAAGAAUCUGAUGUGGGCAAGUGGGAGCAGCAGGCUUCAAUACUCAUUUUUUGGAGAUGUCAUAACAAUUAACACGACUUAUCGUACUAAUCUGUACGACAUGCCUUUGGCCUGUUUGUAGGGGUAAAUAAUCAUUUUCAGAGUGUGAUCCUGGCAGGUGUGCUCGUGCGUGAUGAAACUGAAGAUAGUUUUGAGUGGGUUUUCUUAGAAUUCCUUAGAAUGAUGGGCGGGUCUCCACCGGUGACCAUACUAACAAGUAAAUUUCUGUUAGCACAAUCGGUGAUUAUGUGCCUCCUGGUUGAACAAUGCACAUGUUUGUUUAGAAAUACAUGAGGCUCCAGUUUGACCGGGAAUCGGAGGAGAACUACGAAGAGAAAUGAACAUGAAUUGGGAGGCCACUCAUGAGGGAAAACCUUGCAGUGGAAAGGCAUGCUAGCAAGAUAUAUACAAGAGCCAUGUUUGAACAGUUUGGGCAUAUAUUGUAUGAAUGUGGCACUUAUCAAGUUGAAGAGAUUGAGAGACACAAGACAUAUGUCGCAAUCCACAGCGAGGCAGAGAAGAGAGAUAAAUGGUGCAGAGUGGCAUACAAGGUUAGGAUGCUAGAUGGGGGUGAUGAAUUCGACUGAGUAUGGACAAUUUGCACAUAUGGGCUUGCUUUGCAGCCAUGUGAUGAAGCUCGUGAAACGAAGGUCACCACCUUGGCAGUGCAUACUAGGCAAGGGAUCAGCGGGAGCACCUGGCCGGCCUGGGAGGAAGAAGAUGAGCUUGCCAUUUGCCAUCUUCUCUGAUCUGAUUCUUACAAAGCGAGGAAGAAGAGGAUAAGGCAAUGGGGGAGCAGCCCGUGGAGUCUUGUAGUGGAAGGAGCUAGGUGUGGCUACGGCUGGACAACAGCCGUUUAGCAGCAAACGUCUGAGCCGUGGACCAAGAUUCGGUAUCAAACGUCUGAGCCGGCCUUGAAGGCGUGAUGGCCAUUGCAUUGACAGCGACAACUGGGUGGGCCACGACAUGGGAAAAAACAGCGGAUACAUGUCCAUAUACGGACUGACAUACCUGCAGCGGUUGGAAUCUCAGCAAAAGCUGACGGCUAUGAUAUCGAGUCCAUUUGAGCUCGAGCUCAGAAUAGGACUUUCGCUUCCAACGCUUCUUUGGAAGGUGAAGAGAAAGCUUCGUUAUUGGUCAUAAAAGGCCCUUGUGACCAGAAGCUGGUGGAUGCAUGGAUUUCCUUGUCGCCAAGAAGGGAGACUAGUUACAUUCGUACCUCCUCGUCGUCUCCUUGUUGCUAGAACUUUUCUCAUGACACCUAUUGCGAUGAUACUGUAGCUCUGACAAAUUUAAAUAUGCUUACCUUCUGCUUUUCAGCAAUCAUGUGUUAGCUCGGAUAGAUGAAGCACAUGAUGUUUUAUUCCUCUCUUGUUUCCUUUUUUAAGAUGUCAUGUCUUGUUUCCUACAAGCAUUUAGGUAGUAUAUAUUGUUUUUGGUUCACUCGUGUAGUUCAUUAGGGAAGUUCUUCUUUCACAUUUGUUAGAA